UGUAGUGGCACAUGCCUGUAGUCCCAGCUACUUGGGUAGGCUGAGGCAGGAGAAUCGCUUGAGCCUGGGAGAUGGAGGUUGCAGUGAGCCAAGAUUGAGCCACUGCACUCCAGCCUGGUGACAGAGUGAGACUCCAUCUCAAAUAAAUAAAUAAAUAAAUAAAUAAAAACACACAAAAAAUGCAUGCAUGUACAAUGUUAUACGCAGAGUCGUGCGUAGACCUGGGUGUGUAAGAAGUCCAGACAUACAGGCUAACUUAUUGGUAUCCAGUGUGUUAAAAUUUGACACGUGAGACAAUCAAUAGUGCAUUUAACUUUUUUAAAGGUAAAACUAGUUUUUAAAGAUACGCGAUUCAUGUUAUUUGUCAAACCUUUGUGUAACCUGGGGUUCAAGGGUGCACAUUUUGAAACUGCCUGCAAUAUCCCAGGGCUCUUCACACCUCCCACGUCAUUGACGAACUGACCCUCAGACUGGUUGGGCUCAGACACCACGGAUGGCUGGCGGGCAGUUGACAUAGGCAGGACCUGGCUUGUGAGCUUGUCUCAGAUGCAUCAGAGCAUAAACCGGAGGAUGGGAGCCCCACUGAGGGAAGAGCCAGGUGGUGAGCCGCGAAGCAGGUGAUUUGUGGAGACUUCUUCGUGUUCUUCCUUCAACCAGUACUGAUGCCAGGCACAAGGUAACAAAAACAAGCAGGACUCAAUCCACGCCUUCAAGGGAUCUCCCUUGGUUCCCAUUGAGAAGUUUGGUUUUUUAUUUUUUUCUUUUGCUAAACAAGAAGCGUCGACCCACUGGGAAGUUUGAAUGUUGAGUUUAAGACAGGGCAGCUGGUGACAGGCAGCAAGGAAAAACCAGGGAGACUGGACUCUGACAUCGCUUGCUGUUCAGUUUCACCUUUCACUUGUCAGGUAACAGGAUUUGGGAAAGGUUAUACUCUAAGGAGAGGGGCUUUGCAAAGGAG
rnacentral:lncRNA from 1 species